rnacentral:misc_RNA from 1 species
AACGCACAUUGCGCCCUUUGGUAUUCCGAAGGGCAUGCCCGUUCGAGCGUCAUUUCACCAAUCAAGCCUGGCUUGGUGUUGGGCCGCGGGGAGACCCGGGCCCCAAAGUUCGCCGGCCGGUCGUCUCGGAUCUCAGCGUUGUGGCAUCAAAACCCGCGGAGAGAUGGGGCGGACGCGCCGUGACAAACCCCCUUUCAUGAAAGGUUGACCUCGGAUCGGGUAGGGAUACCCGCUGAACUUAA